rnacentral:rRNA from 1 species
AGCAGCCGCGGUAAAUUCCAGCUCCAAUAGCGUAUAUUUAAGUUGUUGCAGUUAAAAGCCGUAGUUGAAUUUCGAUGCUCGGUCGCACGGUGCUCUUAACGGAUGUCACUGUGCGACUGCAUCUGCCUUACUAGCUCGGUGUGCGGGCAACCGUGCAUCGCGGCUAGUAACGAUUACUUGAAAAAUUAGAGUGUUUAAAGCAGGCUCGCGCUUGAAUAGAUUAGCAUGGAAUAAUGAAUAGGACUU